rnacentral:rRNA from 1 species
GACGAACGCUGGCGGCGUGCUUAACACAUGCAAGUCGAACGGAAAGGCCCCUUUGGGGGUACUCGAGUGGCGAACGGGUGAGUAACACGUGAGUAACCUGCCCUUGACUUCGGGAUAACUUCAGGAAACUGGGGCUAAUACCGGAUAGGAAUCCUUGCUGCAUGGUGGGGGUUGGAAAGCUUCGGCGGUUUUGGAUGGACUCGCGGCUUAUCAGCUUGUUGGUGGGGUAGUGGCUUACCAAGGCUUUGACGGGUAGCCGGCCUGAGAGGGCGACCGGCCACAUUGGGACUGAGAGACGGCACAGACUCCUACGGGAGGCAGCAGUGGGGAAGAUUGCACAAUGGGCGGAAGCCUGAUGCAGCAACGCCGCGGGCGGGAUGACGGCCUUCGGGUUGUAAACCGCUUUCAGCAGGGGCGAAGCUUGUGGUGACGGUACCUGCAGAAGAAGCACCGGCUAACUACGUG